ensembl:lncRNA
GCUGUCCCCUCCUGUAAUGGCCAGAGCCCAGCUUCUGGGCCUGAAAGUCGAGAUCAGAUCCCAGUUCUGCAAUUUAUCAGCUCUGAGGCCUUGGUGAGGGCGUCCACCGGGGCCUCAAUUUCCCCAUCCAUCAAAAGGGGGCAAUGCGCCGACUAAAUUAGUGAACAGAGAAGCUACUAAGCUGAGAUUAAAAUGAGUUAACUUAUCUAAAGUGCUUAAAACCGUGCCCAAUGAACAGUGAACUUCACGUCCCUUUGCUCUUACUGUCAUGUGUCUGUGGUGGUGGACCUUGGCCUGGGCUCCAGGACCAGGCACACGUCCCAGGCCUGGCCAUGGGUGGUUCAGAAGUGGGCAUAACCCAAAGCCGGGCUUACCUGCAGCCCAUCCUGAGACCUGCUGGGACAAUCAGAACCACAGUGCGGGGGAAGGACGGAAGCUGAAGUUCCUGUUGGUCGUCUGGUCCCGAGGGGGCUGAGCCAGCAGAGUUGGAGCCAAUGCGGGCCUGCCUCCUCUGCUGCCUUGUGACCACCUGGAUCCAGCUGGCCGGGAAUUUUUAGUUAUUUGAGCCGUUAAAUUCCCUAAUUAGCUUAAGCCUGUUUGAGCUGCUUUUUUUGUCCCCUGCAGAAGAAAAACAGUCCUGAGACACUCAGCCUGGGAUGGUCCCCUGAAGAAAGGAGACAGAAAGUCAUGCCCGUGUGGGGCCAUCCUGCAUGCUGCGGAUGGAGAAGGCGGAGCAGCCUGGGGCAGGGUGGCCAAGCUUCCCGAUGGCUCUCCUGUCCUGAGCUUUCCUGGCUGCACCAGGGUGCCCAGGGCCUAUGAGACACCAGUGUGAGCUGGUAAUAAAUGUCCCUUUCUUGCUUGAGAGCCAGAGUCCUAAUGAACAGUAUGAUUUCUGUUGUUUGUGUUUAGGAAGUAAUGUGGACAGAACAUAAACGUCCUGUGAGGUCGGCGUAUGUAGUUCGUUCGUUGAUGGCUAACUUGCUAUCGUAUUUGCCAAACAACAAAUGUGAUCCGAACGGAUGGACGUGUGUUUGAAAGACAGAGGUCUCCCCACACUCGCCGUCCGCAGAUGAAUCGGCACUGACCUUGCUAAGCACUGCCCGGAGGGAAGCCUGUUCUCUGGCUGCCCCUUUCUUCUCCUUUCUAAGAUGAAGAGGUGGCCCUUCCUGCUCCCCCAGCGCCACCCCGCCUGGGCCUGGGCAUUCUGUCCCCUCCCCGGUCCUGAAAAGGCUCACACCCAACUUGUUCCACCAGCAGCUUCUCCUUUUUGCCUUCAAACAAGUCCAAUCCCUGUUCUCUAAAACUUCAAGAUAUUAAGAGCGAUGCAGGCCUGCUGCCUCUGGGUCCCCACCCCUGGCCCUCUGCCUGCAGCUGUGUUACCAGCUUCCACCAAACAAAAGGUGAAUAAAUCACCAGUCCCUUCAUGGUUGCUAAGUUCUGUUACCAAUUGAACUCUCCCCAACUGGUUUGGACUGGUUUGGUUCAGCCGUCUUCUCCUUCCUUUCGUUCUGUUUUCCCCCAACACCUGCGCCCUGCUCUCCGAGCCCACUGGGAGGAUGUCUCGGAGCUGCUUCUGGGCUCCCACUGCCUCCACUCUGCUCUGGGCUCCCCUAGGCGGCCCCAGCUUCUCAGAGAGCUGGCCUCCUCCUCCUGUGCUGCUGCCUGCUUAUGCUUCGCUGUGACUUCAGGCCCAGCGUAUUCAAAAGUCCCACCUCCACACUGGCCAGCGCCCCACUCAGCAGCCACGGGGGCGCAGAGGGAGCUGGGAUUUUGCAAUUGCAAGCCUUGGCCUCAAAUCCCACUCUGCUAGUCCCUAAUCAUGUGAUCCCGGGCAAGUCACUACAACUCCUUUGGUUUCCUCCUCUGCAAACGGGGUCGACAGUGAUGUCCCCUCACAGGGUUGCUGCAGGCACCAGAGCAGGUGACGGAUGGAACACCUCACUGAACGCUGGGACGUGGGUUAUUGAGUGACAUACGAUAGUGUAAGAAUUAAGGAAACAGGCUUGGAGUCAAAGCACCGGAUUUAGCUCCUGGCUGUGUCCUUUCCUGGCGGUAUGACCUUGGCCAAUGAACAAGCAUAGCUGUGCCUCAUUUUCCACAUCUGCACAGUGGGCAUCUUACCAUGACCCUGCAGCUGGGUGUUGGGAGGAAGGUGGUUCCCACGGGCUCAGGGCUCGGAGCAGCGCCUGGCUUACAGACAGCAUUCACUAAACGUUUGCUGUGACACUUUCUCACUCUUCCCCAGCACGUUUCUAACUGACAGGGUCCCUAACCUCCCUGCCUGUCGGUGCCCGUAUUUUCAGAUCUGUUCAGUCACUGCUCAUAGAGUCUCAGGUGGCUGUGGUGUCCAGUGUCUUCAAGGACUGGCCCUGGCGGUGUGCACCCCAGGGAAGAGGCCAUGGCUUCUCUCUACCCGGCCUUCUCCGGACGUCUCUGCAGCAGGGCUGCCUGCUGUGGGGCCUGCCUCCGACCUGGGGACACAGUGAAGGAAGUUCAUUCUUCGCCAUCCUUUGGUUUAUUUGUCUGCACUUUAAGAUCUUAAUGGGUAGCAGGGUCUUGUUGUUUCUCCCUGAAGCUAUCUUUCCUCUUCUAAGGUGAGCCCCGGUGUCUCUAAAGCACAGCCACACUGCUGGGCAGGCUGCCUGAGGGCUGUCUCCCCGGCAGGCCGGCCCCCCUUGCCACCCCCAGGCUCAGCAUCCUGUCUCGCCAGAUGAUGGCUCUGCCACCCUUUGCCUGCCUGCCGUCUCUACAGCCACGCAUCUCAGCAGCUCCCUGUUACCUACAAGUUCACUGCACCAAAUUCAAAGACCUGAUCUUUUUCCUUGUACCCUCCUUGUACCUGAAAGUAUUUAAGGUGGCAUCUCAUUGUUAUUUUUUUAAGAUCCUCGAUGAUCUCGCUACAAAACUGGACCUUCAGAAUAGGCUUAGAACCCAUGCCAAAGUAGUCGCUCGGUCUGUCCAGGUCCCCUGUUGGCUUGGUGGCCGUCUCUGAGGGGCACCUACUCUGUUCCCGGCGGUGCAGCAGCGGUCAAGGCCUCACUCUCAGCAUCUUAGGUCCAGCUGGGCUCCAGCCCAUGGAGUCAGCAUGUUAGUGCCUAGAGCUGCUAUAGCAAAGUGCUACAAAUGGGGCGGCUUUUGAAAAACAGAAGUGUAUGCUUUCACAGCUCGGAGGCCUGAAAUCAACGUGUCAGCAGGGCCGCACUCCCUCCGAAGGUUCUGAGGAAGAAUGCUUCCAGCCUCGUCCAGCUUCUGGGGCCCUUGGCAUUCCCUGAUUUGUGGCCACGUCACCCCACUCCCAGCCUCUGUCUUCACAGGGCCGUGCUCUCCUUGUGUGUCUGUCUCCAAACCCCCACUCUUCCUGAGGACACUGGGCAUUGGCUUUAGGGUCCAUCCGAAUCCCGCACGACUUCUUUACUUGGUUACAUCUGAAAAGCCCUGUUUCCAAAGCAGGUCACAGGUACCAGGUGGUAGGACUUGAACAAAUUUUUGAGGGAACAGUUCAGCCCACAAGAGUCAGCAACCAGAGCAGCAAGGUCAAACAAAUGAGGACAAAAUUUUAGUGAAAAUACUUUUUUUCAGCUCUAUGAAUUUGCUUAAAAUUCACAGUUUUGUAGUAGAAACUGGUAUAGGAUAGCAGAGAGCCUGGGCCACUGAGUCCUAGUGUCUGAAUUUCAAUCUUGCAAAGAUCAGUUUCUUUGCCUUUGUAAUAAGAGUCAUGCCCACGUCAUCAAACUGUGGGGGUGAUGGUGGUACUGGAGCGAAAACAUGUCAGUCGCCACAUUGAUGCCUGCACUGUGACCCCUUCAGAAGACUCAUCUGUUAUCAACUCUACAGCAGUAUUUGACCAUCAAUUCUGGUUUACUGUUAUGUUGUGUGUGUGUAUGAGGAAGAUUGUCGCCGAGCUGACACCUGGGCCCAUCUUCCUCUGUUUUAUAUGGGAGACAGCACCACAGCAUGGCUUGAUGAGCGUCAUGGGUCCACACCUGGGAUCUGAACCUGCAAACCCGAGGCUGCUGAAGCGGAGUGUGCGAACUCAACCACCACGCCACCAGGCCAGCCCCGUGGUUUACUGUUUUUUAAUAUAACCGUUACAAUCUUAAUUUUUCAAACAUCUUGAAUACUUUAAAUAAACCUCCUGUUAUUAAGCCUUAAAUCAGCAGUAUUGUGCACCGGGGCUGGCCUCAUCUGUCAUUUUGUACAUGGGCCCCUCUGUGCCCAUACAGCCUACCUUCCAGGAAGGUGACAGGGAUGAUAAAUAUCAAGUUGUUCCACACUGCAUCCCAUUGCAGCGAACUUUCUGCACACAUGGCCUACCCUCUGUGUGAAGCAAAAUGGGUUAUAAAUAUCCAGGAGUUAUUGUGACAUUGAACUGCCAUGGAUGUGGACUAGAAGGGAGUGGCCACUUGGUUUUAUUCAAACUGACCUUACCAUCAUGGCAGCAGCAUGCGGCAACACUCAAGCUGUCAGCCAAGCCUGGGAGCUGUCUGUUUACAGAGUUUGUGUUGAAGAGGGUUUUGCCCCACGGAUUCCACCUGUGGUGACUCUUCAUCAGUUGGGUCAAGGUAAUUGGUUAGACUACUAACCUCCCAAGGCUGACCCUUCACCGAUGGAAGGUCUGGGGAUAGCAGAUUGCAGACUUUUCCCACGAUUCUCGAGAGGGAAUGGAGUUGAGGCGAAAAGGAACAGAAAAUUGAGGAGGUGUCUGUGAACUUAUUGUUAAUGUUCCUCUCAGUUCUUUUAGAAUGCUUGAUACACACACACAAAAUAACAGGACAGUUUCCUGGACAUGCCACCAGGGGACACCUGACGCCCUCCCCCCACCGUGGUGGUUUUCCUCAAGGGGCUUCCAGCUGAAGGUAGGUAAAUGCAACAGUCAGCAACCAUGGUGACAGUUCCUAGAAGGAAAGAAGCAGAACCCACCAUCUACUGGGGAAGCAACUGGAAUGAAAAGCUUUGAAAACAAAGGCAAAAGAUCAAAAGACAAAGUACUGAAAGGGAAUCCAAGAUGUACUGAUGGGUGGACACUAACUUUAGGAAAACCAGGGAGAUCCGGGCACAGAUGGACCCGCAGAGACCAAGCGCGAGCCUCUGAGGCUGUCCCGGAGCCAGCAUGUUCACGACCCUGCGAAGCAGGCAGCUCCCCCUUGAGAGAUGGGGAAACCAAGUCCCAGAGGGAGUGCAGGGCCGUGUCACCGGGUCCACACCCCUCCCCCUUCUGCUCUCCCCUCCGCUGCGUGUAAGCGGUUUCCCCAGCGCGGGAGCCUGCAGGCCUGGGGGCAGAGGAGGCCUCUUUCCGGACCUGGGAGACCUCGCCUGCCCAGCACAGGGGCCUCGCCUCCACAGCCAUGACCUCUCGCCUGGGGCGCGUGACCCACCCGGCUGCCCACUCCCCACCCGCACAGAGCAGAGAGGAUGGGAAGGGGGACACGGGGCCUGACCCUCUCCACAUCGCAGCGAGUUUUCCAGGAAAGCGGGGGACCUUCGUGGCAGGACUCUCCCAGCGCUCUCCAGCCCGGGAUUCAGACCAACUCACCUCUUCCCGGGUCACGGCCGUUACCCCUGCAGAGCUCUCCAAGAGGUCGACUACCGAAAAUGGCGAAAUAGGAAAUGUUUUUAGAGGAACAUAUGCAGAAUCGAAAAGGAGCUGAAUAGAAGCAUGUUUACAGAACUGAGCAAGGACCAAAGGAAAGCUGAGCGAAGAGGCGGAUGGAGAAGCUUUCUCCUGACGCAGGUGUUUUCAGUGCGAGUGGCUGUGCUUUUGCUGUGCAUGUGAAUUUCUAGAACACUGGAGUUACCUAUAAUUAAAAAGAGAAGAAACAUCAGCUUAGGAUGCCAAGAAUGAUUCUGACGCCAGUCGGUUAGAGAAGCACCCGGGGCUCUCUCUGUCCUCCGACUCGCCUCGAAGUAAGCCCAGUGGUUGCGUCACACUUGGAAGCAAGCAAAUAGAGCACAGGCAUUUUAAAGAGAAGCUUCAGAUUUAAGACAUUUUUAGGCAGCUGAAACAAUUCUAGGAGAAGUGUUCCACAUCGUUAAUGCUGAAAGACAAAAGAGCAGACUGCAGCUGGGCGUGAGCAGGCGUGAGAGAGCUGCGCGGCCUGCAAAGGCAAGGAGGAGCAGCCGCUGAGCCCGCCAUACACCAACCUGCCACCUUCUCUGCUCAAGCUGCACAUUAUUGCUAAGUUAUGCCAUCUGGCUCACAUAACCAGAAGAAAACUUGGCACCUACAUUCAACCGGAACGGCCAUAAGUUCUCAAAACAUCUUAUUU